rnacentral:rRNA from 1 species
GACGAACGCUGGCGGCGUGCUUAACACAUGCAAGUCGAACGGAAAGGCCCUGCUUUUGUGGGGUGCUCGAGUGGCGAACGGGUGAGUAACACGUGAGUAACCUGCCCUUGACUUUGGGAUAACUUCAGGAAACUGGGGCUAAUACCGGAUAGGAGCUCCUGCCGCAUGGUGGGGGUUGGAAAGUUUCGGCGGUUGGGGAUGGACUCGCGGCUUAUCAGCUUGUUGGUGGGGUAGUGGCUUACCAAGGCUUUGACGGGUAGCCGGCCUGAGAGGGUGACCGGCCACAUUGGGCCUGAGAUACGGCCCAGACUCCUACGGGAGGCAGCAGUGGGGAAUAUUGCACAAUGGGCGGAAGCCUGAUGCAGCAACGCCGCGUGCGGGAUGACGGCCUUCGGGUUGUAAACCGCUUUCGCCUGUGACGAAGCGUGAGUGACGGUAAUGGGUAAAGAAGCACCGGCUAACUACGUG